rfam:Danio rerio chromosome 11, GRCz11 reference primary assembly.
GCCGGGGAGAGCACAUCGUCGUCCGACCAAUGUUUACUGGGAAGCUACUGGGAGGCUGAGGCUGCGGAUCGCUUGAGCUCAGGGCUUCUGGACUGCAGUGGACUAUGUCGAUCGGGUGUCCGCACUAAGUUCGGUAUCGAUAUGGUGCUCCCGGGUGAGCUCGGGACCGCCAGGUCGUUUAAGGAGGAGUGAACCGGCCCAGGUCGGAAACGGAGCAGGUCAAAGCUCCCGUGCCGAUCAGUAGUGGGAUCGUGCCUGUGAAUAGACACUUCAGUUCAGCCUGAGCGACACAGAGAGACGCAGACUUUU